GUCUUCUUGGAUCAGUUGGUUAGAGUGCAGGUCUUAUAGCAAUAUGAUGUGGUUCCGUACCACAGUAAUCUUGAGGUCAUGAGUUUGACCCUCACAGACGACA